rnacentral:tRNA from 1 species
GCCUUGUUGGCUCAGGUGGUGGAGUAUGUGACUUUUGAUCUUAGAGUUGUGGGUUUGAGUCCUACAUUAGGUG